rnacentral:rRNA from 1 species
UACGUAGGGACCAAGCGUUGUUCGGAUUUACUGGGCGUAAAGGGCGCGUAGGCGGCCACCGCAAGCCGACUGUGAAAUCUCCGGGCUUAACCCGGAAAGGUCAGCCGAUACUGCGGGGCUAGAGUGCAGAAGGGGCAACUGGAAUUCUCGGUGUAGCGGUGAAAUGCGUAGAUAUCGAGAGGAACACCUGCGGCGAAGGCGGGUUGCUGGGCUGACACUGACGCUGAGGCGCGAAAGCUAGGGGAGCGAACGGG